rnacentral:rRNA from 1 species
CCUACGGGUGGCUGCAGUGGGGAAUUUUGCGCAAUGGGCGAAAGCCUGACGUAGCGACACCGCGUGAGCGAAGAAGCCCCUUGGGGUGUAAAGCUCUGUCAGCUGGAACGAAAAAAAUGACGGUACCAGCAGAGGAAGCAUCGGCUAACUACGUGCCAGCAGCCGCGGUAAGACGUAGGAUGCAAGCGUUGUCCGGAUUUAUUGGGCGUAAAGAGUUCGUAGGUGGUUUGUUAAGUUUGGUGUUAAAGAUUGGGGCUCAACCCUGAAACUGCACUGAAUACUGGCAGACUCGAGUGUGGUAGAGGCUAGUGGAAUUCCCAGUGUAGCGGUGAAAUGCGUAGAUAUUGGGAAGAACACCGGUGGCGUAGGCGACUAGCUGGGCCAUAACUGACACUGAGGAACGAAAGCCAGGGGAGCGAAUGGGAUUAGAUACCCCGGUAGUC